AAUGAACGUUGGCAGCGUGGAUUAGGCAUGCAAGUCGAGCGACAAGUCUUCCUUCGGGAAGAUGGAGGAGCGGCUAACGGGGUAGUAAGGCAUCGGAACGUACCUUUUCGUCUGGGAUAGCCACGGGAAACUGUGAGUAAUACCGGAUAAUCUCUUCGGAGCAAAGGUUUACUGCGAUUAGAGCGGCCGAUGUGAGACUAGGUAGUUGGUGUGGUAAUGGCGCACCAAGCCAGAGAUCUCUAGGGGGUGUGAGAGCAUGGCCCCCACCACUGGAACUGAGACACUGUCCAGACACCUACGGGUGGCUGCAGUCGAGAAUCUUCGGCAAUGGGCGCAAGCCUGACCGAGCGACGCCGCGUGCGGGAUGAAGGCCUUCGGGUUGUAAACCGCUGUCAGAGGGAAGGAAAGCUUCGGUUUGACCGAUCCUCAGAGGAAGUACGGGCUAAGUUCGUGCCAGCAGCCGCGGUAAGACGAACCGUACGAACGUUAUUCGGAAUCACUGGGCUUAAAGGGUGCGUAGGCGGUCUACCAAGUUGGGUGUGAAAUCCCUCGGCUCAACCGAGGAACUGCGCCCAAAACUG
rnacentral:rRNA from 1 species